AUACGGAGGGUGCAAGCGUUACUCGGAAUCACUGGGCGUAAAGCGCGCGCAGGCGGCUUGAUAAGUUGGAUGUGAAAGCCUACGGCUCAACCGUAGAACUGCAUCCAAAACUAUUUAGCUAGAGUGUGGGAGAGGAAGAUGGAAUUAGUUGUGUAGGGGUAAAAUCCGUAGAGAUAACUAGGAAUACCAAAAGCGAAGGCAAUCUUCUGGAACACUACUGACGCUGAGGCGCGAAAGCGUGGGGAGCAAACAGGAUUAGAAACCCCAGUAGUCC
rnacentral:rRNA from 1 species